CCAACAUUCUCUCACAGCUUUUAGACAAAUACCCCCCCACAUGCAAUUUCAUUACUAGCCAUGCCAAUUUAUUACACCCCAUGCCAUUUCCUCAUCCCUCUGUGCCAUUUCCUCACCCCCAUGCCAUUUCAUCACUCCCUUGUGCCAUUUUAUCAGUUCUUGUGCCAUCUACCUUACCCUUGUGCCACCCGCACAAGGCUAAAAACCAACUGCUCCCGCAGGACCCAUGUAAUCCCAAUCCCAUUGCUGUGGUCACUUUUGAAAGAUUAUUUUGACCAUGCAGAGCCACUGACUGAUUUUAAGGGAAAGCCAAUCACCAGUGACCACAAUGUUACUUCCUCAUCACAGGGAGCAGAAUUCUACUGAAUUCUAAUAAGAAUCUGACAUUCGACUCUAUAUAUCAGACAUGCAACAGGAAACACUGCUCCUAGAUGGUCCAAACUUUGAUGCCAGCCAGAAGCUCCCAUUGUCACUGAAAUUAGGUUUUAUAUACCAUUUCCAUCUACAGAUGACAACACGUCUAUGGCUCUUUUGCGGCAGACACCUGAAUUGCUCAGUAAAGAUGCGGAUGUUGAGUGACACCUUUAAAUCUGCUAUGGAGUAUUGUCAACCACGUGGAAAGUCUGCAAUAAAAUUCAA